UAGAAAGUGAGGCAAGAGAAAAUCAAAAACUUCCCCUGCAGUUAAUGGAUCAACCAGCACCAGCUUUAGAAGCCCCCAGAGGGAGUUGAGUACAGAUGAAACAACCUGCUGGUAGAGACAUCGUUGUAAUAGACCACUGAGUUCUUUGAAAAGAUCACUGCCCAUUCCAUGUGGUAUUGCAGCUAGGCGAAUGUGAUCAUCUCGUCUAAACAUAGCUUUGCGCACCACCAAGAUGAUGUAAUCCUGCAGUGUUUAGAGAAAUAGAGGCGUAGAUAUUCUUAAAGAGUAAAGCAUACAGGGGUUGUAUAAAUCCGCCUGAUUUUAAUUUAAUCUAAAUUGUUAUCCUGUGAUCUAACACGGUCCCUGGGAUAAUAAAUGUCAUGCACAUGCUUUUACUUGAUUGAAUAAAUGAUGGAAAGAAUGCAAACCUGAAGGUUAUGACUGAACUUGAUGAGUGGUAAUAGAACAUUAAUUAGGUGGGAAGCAACCUUGUUGUGCA